CUAGGUGUACUCUAAUUGGCUAGAGCCCUGAUUUGGGAUCAGGUGGAGGCUUAAUAAGCGGAUGCAGGUUCGAGUCCUGUCACCUAGA
rnacentral:tRNA from 1 species